rnacentral:pre_miRNA from 1 species
CAACCAACGGUAGUUUUUAUUAAUACCGAAGCUUAAGGGUCGAAGCUUGACCGGUCAUCAGCGGUUGAAAAGUAAUUUCAGAAUAGAUUUUUAAUUACUUUAAUUCAGAGUAGAUUUUUAAUUACUUUUCAACCGCUGAUGACGGGUCAAGCUUCGACCCGUAAGCUUCGGUAUUAAUAAAAACUACUGUUGGUUG